UCCGGGUUGAACCCGGCGGUCCCGCCAGACGUAGUAACUAACGACGGGGGUUGCGCUCGUUGCGGGACUUAACCCAACACCUCACGACAUGAGCUGACGACAGCCAUGCACCACCUGUGCACCGGCCCCGAAGGGCUGCCGUAUUUCUACGACAUUCCAGUGCAUGUCAAGCCUUGGUAAGGUUCUUCGCGUUGCGUCGAAUUAAACCACAUGCUCCGCUGCUUGUGCGGACCCCCGUCAAUUCCUUUGAGUUUCAGCCUUGCGGCCGUACUCCCCAGGCGGGGUACUUCCUGCGUUAGCGCCGGCACCCAGAGGGUCGCUCCCCCAGGCACCUAGUACCCAUCGUUUACGGCGUGGACUAC
rnacentral:misc_RNA from 1 species